rnacentral:rRNA from 1 species
UACGGGGGGGGCAAGCGUUGUUCGGAAUUACUGGGCGUAAAGGGCUCGUAGGUGGCCAACUAAGUCAGACGUGAAAUCCCUCGGCUUAACCGGGGAACUGCGUCUGAUACUGGAUGGCUUGAGUUCGGGAGAGGGAUGCGGAAUUCCAGGUGUAGCGGUGAAAUGCGUAGAUAUCAGGAGGAACACCGGUGGCGAAGGCGGGUCUCUGGGCCGAUACUGACGCUGAGGAGCGAAAGCGUGGGGAGCGAACAGG